UUGCACAAGAUCCUGUCAGUGUAUCUCAGUUCAUGCACAACACGUUGUCGCAAGUGACGCUGAAUCAGCUAGGCUGGUCAGUAAAAUAUUGACUCCUUUGACAUGGAGGAUCUCGGUAGCUACAGCUGUUGGUUCAUCAAUUGAAUCAGAUUCAGUUGUAUUGUGUCUGCCAACUGAUGAUGUGAGGCAGAACAGUAAUUGGAUACCAGAAAAUAUGAAUAACAGUGAGUUUUGGCCUCCUUCAGUGUUCUGGACGGAAGGUGUACCUCGCAAAGUGACUCUGUGCGAACAAAAGGAAAUAUAUAGAAAUAAUAUUUACAGCUAAACGUAUCCAAGUAUCUUAUAGGAAUGAAGUCAGGCCAUGGAAAUCCACACCUGUGAUGGAGAAACAUUGGAUCAAGGGACUUUGUGUGGAAACAACUAAGAGCGAAACCUGUAGCUGUGGCCUGCUUGGACUGCACGUGAUCUGAAGUACAGAAACCCAGAGCCAGACACGGGUCUGACAACUGGAAGCUGGAGUUAUGUUUUUAUGCUGUUUUUAUGUGAUGUUUGACCCUGUACUUGCAUGAUGUGUUUUAUCAUUGAUGUAAAUAGAAUAAACUUUGUACAUUUAUA